rnacentral:rRNA from 1 species
CACGUAGGGUGCGAGCGUUGUCCGGAAUUAUUGGGCGUAAAGAGCUCGUAGGUGGUUUGUCGCGUUGUUCGUGAAAACUCACAGCUUAACUGUGGGCGUGCGGGCGAUACGGGGCAGACUGGAGUACUGCAGGGGAGACUGGAAUUCCUGGUGUAGCGGUGGAAUGCGCAGAUAUCAGGAGGAACACCGGUGGCGAAGGCGGGGUCUCUGGGCAGUAAACUG